rnacentral:rRNA from 1 species
GAUGAACGCUGGCGGCGUGCCUAAUACAUGCAAGUCGAGCGAGCAGAUAAGGAGCUUGCUCCUUUGACGUUAGCGGCGGACGGGUGAGUAACACGUGGGUAACCUACCUAUAAGACUGGGAUAACUUCGGGAAACCGGAGCUAAUACCGGAUAAUAUUUCGAACCGCAUGGUUCGAUAGUGAAAGAUGGUUUUGCUAUCACUUAUAGAUGGACCCGCGCCGUAUUAGCUAGUUGGUAAGGUAACGGCUUACCAAGGCGACGAUACGUAGCCGACCUGAGAGGGUGAUCGGCCACACUGGAACUGAGACACGGUCCAGACUCCUACGGGAGGCAGCAGUAGGGAAUCUUCCGCAAUGGGCGAAAGCCUGACGGAGCAACGCCGCGUGAGUGAUGAAGGUCUUCGGAUCGUAGAACUCUGUUAUUAGGGAAGAACAUACGUGUAAGUAACUGUGCACGUCUUGACGGUACCUAAUCAGAAAGCCACGGCUAACUACGUG